rnacentral:rRNA from 1 species
UCACGAAAAGUGGAUUGCACUAGAAGUCUGCACGCUGACCCGCAAGGGAGGCAGCGGCCCAAGGUAUGAUUCAUGAUUGGGGUG